UGGAUAGUAAUAAUGAUGAAAUUUAACGGAUUUGGCGGCAAGAUAGCCAUUUAGAGGAACCUGCCCUGUAAACGAUGAACCACGAAUAACAUUACUUUUAUUUGUAAUCAGUUUGUAUAUCGCUGUUGUCAGUUAGUUUCUUUAGAAAACUUUCUAUUAUAAAAAAAUUAAAGACUUCAAGUAAAGGUGCAGCUAAUAUAAAAGUUAGAGGUGGGUUACAUUAUAAGGAUUAAUACGGAUAAAGUUUUGAAAUAGCUUUUGAAGGUGGAUUUAAUAGUAAAGUUUAUAAAAACUUGAUUAAGGCUCUUUCUUGUGUACACACCGCCCGUCGCUCGCGGGA
rnacentral:rRNA from 1 species